UUUUUUUUUUUUUAAGAAAAAAUAAACUGAAGUUAAAAGAAAGCACAUAUUUUUGCUAUAUCAAAUAAAAAUCUAGUUUACAGGGGAUCCUUGGAUGGCUCAGUGGUUUAGCGCCUGUCUUCAGCCCAGGGUGUGAUCCUGGAGACCCGGGAUCGAGUCCCACGUCGGGCUCCCUACAUAGAGCGGCUUCUGCCUGUGUCUCUGCCUGUGUCUCUCUCUCUGUGCUUCUCAUGAAUAAAUAAAUAAAAUCUUUAAAAUUAAAAAAAAAAAGUCUAGUUUACAAACAGAAAUACUAAAUGGUAAGAUUUGGUCAGUAUGUGAUCAAAGCUUUGAAUUUCCACAGGUACCAUUCUUUUCUUAUACUUUACCUUUUUGACAGUAGGAAGUCAGGCUCUGUCUGUCACUUCAUCUUGUGGCCUGAAACCAAAGGUCAUGGCGUUAUUUUCAUGACAAGCUACAAACAAAAACAAAAACUCCUAUUCCUAAAUUUGCUAAUUGUAUAUUCAAAGUAGAAAUCACAUUUCCCUUCUAUUCAGGAUUUGCCCAUAUAACAAUACAGCAAACUUCUUUAUAUGUAAAACUUUUCAGAUCAACUCAGCUUUAAUACUCAACCCUGGGGCAGCCCAGGUGGCUCAGUGGUUUAGCGCCACCUUCAGCCCAGGGCGUGAUCCUGGAGACCUGGGAUCAAGUCCCACGUCAGGCUCCUUGCAUGGAGCCUGUUUCUCCCUCUGCCUGUGUCUCUGCCUCUCUCUCUCUCUCUCUCUCUCUCUCUGUCUCUCAUGAAUAAAUAAAUAAAAUCUUUUAAAAAAUAAUAAUCAACCAUAUACAAUGUGUGGGUUAAAUAACUCUAACUUCCUUCCUGGGGGGUGGGGAGGGGAGAUAGAAAUUUGACCUUCCUUUGCUUUUUUUUUUUAAUUUUUGGUUGAACAUUUGUAUCACGAAUUAGCCCACAAACCAAAUGAGCAUAAAUUGGUUUGUUUCUUUUUUUUUAAAGAGCCACCAAUUUUGGUGAAUUUUCAUUUUGGUUUACUUUUAAUUUAACAUUUUAGAUUGGUUGGUUGUUUUUUUUUUUUUAAAGACAGCCACCAAAUAUUGACUCAUAUCGUCUUAUCUAUUCAUCUUCUAAUUCGAUUGUUGGUUCUCUUGACUGUCUGAUACCAAUCGCCCACUGGUAUAACAUCCAGAGAGUUGUAGAAUCCUCUUGGUGGCAUUUUCAAUGUGUGAUUCCACCACCUUCAUCCAUAUAUAAACACACCACAUAAAGACAAGCUAAAUGACCCAGCAGGAUUUAAGAGAAGUGUAGCUCAGAGUUUAUAUUUCUGCGUAACUCCUGAUACUCUAAUCCAGUAUGAAGGGAAGAGAAAUCUAACAAGGUUGACUUACUGAGUCUGUAAUGUCCUGUUUUAAUACCCAGCUAUUUUUCACUCUUUGUGACUGAAUUUCCAGGGGUAUAUAUAGAGGAAGAACUAGUUAUACACAUUUAGUGAAAAGGAACGUUCCAUCUCCGUGUCUGUAGGGUGCCAGCUGACCUAAGAGUAGACUGAUACAAUCAAGUUAAAUUCAUACUUAUUAAUAUGCAAAGCACUCUACUAGGGAUACGGAGACAUUUAAGAUAAGCUUAGGAGCUGGGCCUAAGGAGUUUUUAGGGAAAAUAAUAUACUUUAUCAAAAGUGGAGACCUACUUGUGCUAAAAGAAAUUAGUCUUCCCUCUAGUUUUAAAUUUUUUUAGGGGCUCCUGGGUGGC
rnacentral:lncRNA from 1 species